AGAGUUUGAUCAUGGCUCAGAACGAACGCUGGCGGCACGCUUAACACAUGCAAGUCGAACGGCAACGGGUCCUUCGGGACGCCGGCGAGUGGCGAACGGGUGAGUAACACGUGGAGACCUACCCUGGGGUGGGGGAUAACAACUGGAAACGGUUGCUAAUACCGCAUACGCCUUACGAGGGAAAGAUUUAUUGCCCCAGGAGGGUUCCGCGUCGGAUUAGCUUGUUGGUGGGGUAACGGCCUACCAAGGCGACGAUCCGUAGCUGGUCUUAGAGGAUGAUCAGCCACACUGGAACUGAGACACGGUCCAGACUCCUACGGGAGGCAGCAGUGGGGAAUAUUGCGCAAUGGGGGCAACCCUGACGCAGCGAUGCCGCGUGGGUGAAUAAGGCCUUAGGGUUGUAAAGCCCUUUCAGUGGGAACGAUGAUGACGGUACCCACAGAAGAAGCCCCGGCUAACUCCGUGCCAGCAGCCGCGGUAAUACGGAGGGGGCGAGCGUUGUUCGGAAUUAUUGGGCGUAAAGAGCGCGUAGGCGGCUUGUCAAGUCAGAAGUGAAAUCCUAGGGCUUAACCCUGGAACUGCUUUUGAAACUGGCAGGCUUGAGUCCGGCAGAGGGUGGUGGAAUUCCCCGUGUAGAGGGUGAAAUUCGUAGAUAUGGGGAGGAAGAAUCACUAGUGAA
rnacentral:rRNA from 1 species